GAUGAACGCUGGCGGCGUGCCUAAUACAUGCAAGUCGAGCGAACAGACGAGGAGCUUGCUCCUUUGACGUUAGCGGCGGACGGGUGAGUAACACGUAGGUAACCUACCUAUAAGACUGGGAUAACUUCGGGAAACCGGAGCUAAUACCGGAUAAUAUUUCGAACCGCAUGGUUCGAUAGUGAAAGAUGGCUUUGCUAUCACUUAUAGAUGGACCUGCGCCGUAUUAGCUAGUUGGUAAGGUAACGGCUUACCAAGGCAACGAUACGUAGCCGACCUGAGAGGGUGAUCGGCCACACUGGAACUGAGACACGGUCCAGACUCCUACGGGAGGCAGCAGUAGGGAAUCUUCCGCAAUGGGCGAAAGCCUGACGGAGCAACGCCGCGAGAGUGAUGAAGGUCUUCGGAUCGUAAAACUCUGUUAUUAGGGAAGAACAAACGUGUAAGUAACUGUGCACGUCUUGACGGUACCUAAUCAGAAAGCCACGGCUAACUACGUG
rnacentral:rRNA from 1 species